rnacentral:rRNA from 1 species
GGCUCAGGACGAACGCUGGCGGCGUGCCUAACACAUGCAAGUCGAGCGAGGAGAUCCUUCGGGAUGAUCCUAGCGGCGGACGGGUGAGUAACACGUGGGCAACCUGCCUCAUAGAGAGGAAUAGCCUUCCGAAAGGGAGAUUAAUACCUCAUAACAUUGCAGUUUCGCAUGGAACAGCAAUUAAAGGAGUAAUCCGCUAUGAGAUGGGCCCGCGGCGCAUUAGCUAGUUGGUGAGGUAACGGCUCACCAAGGCGACGAUGCGUAGCCGACCUGAGAGGGUGAUCGGCCACAUUGGGACUGAGACACGGCCCAGACUCCUACGGGAGGCAGCAGUGGGGAAUAUUGCACAAUGGGGGAAACCCUGAUGCAAGCAACGCCGCGUGAGUGAUGACGGCCUUCGGGUUGUAAAGCUCUGUCUUCAGGGACGAUAAUGACGGUACCUGAGGAGGAAGCCACGGCUAACCUACGUGCCAGCAGCCGC